UCUCAGAAAUGAACUGGAGUGUUAGAAGAGAUGAAAAAGGGAGGUGAAUAACUUAGCUGUUGUCUCAAUUGAAAAUAACAAGAGCAUAGAUUAAGACAGUAACAAUGAAAAGGCAAAGAGAAAAAGAGGAUUGGCAUUUCAUCACAGAAAUGAAUAUUUUACUUAUCUGAACAAGACUCUCAAGAAGCCUGGGCUCGGCUGCUGGAGAAUUAAAGAUUUGACUAAAUCCACCUACCGCCCAAGUAAGAGCUUCCCCAAGAUCCGCAGAGGUGCAACCAGUGUUCCCCCUGUGUCCUGAGGUUGACAGAAUUUGCUACUAAUCUUCUGAAUGAAGACGUUUUUGGUGGUGGUGGUGGUCACCAUUGCUUUCCAAAGGGGACCUGUGGGAGAAGAAUCUGGGCAGAGCCUAAUGCCUUUCUUGCAGGAGCUGGUGUUCCCCUCCUCUAAACCUGCCUCUAAACCCAUCUCAUGAGCACUGGAGAAAAACCCAUCUCAUGGGCAAAGGAGAAGAGCCCAUGAAUGAGAUCAAUUUUCCCUUGUAUUUUUAUCUCCCAGGGAUUCUAUACACCUCUACUCGCUCACAUUAUCCUUCAGCAAUUUCUUACAAUGAAAUUUAGCUCACUUUUUCUUACAAGUAGUAAUGCACCAGCAAUUGCCCCAGGUAAGCAAUAUAGUGAGCACAUCAUUCCUUAUAGAUGCCUAUUUUUCUUUUAAUUUCUAGUCAGUCAGUUGUCCUGUGGCCUCAGCUUUCAGCUGCCAUUUAUUCAAGGUAAUCUAUUUUAGAAAUUAUCCAGCUUUUUGUUUUGUUUUGGUUUGGUUUUUGCUUCUGUUUUGCAGCCUUACUGACAUAUAAUUGACAAAUAAAAUUGUACACACUUAGUGUACAUGAACAGGUUAUAUACUUACACAUUGUGAAAUGAUUACCACGAUCAAGUUUAUCAACACAUUCAUCACCUCAC